AGAACACCCCCCAAUAAAUGCAUCCUGAUCGACAUCUUUUGUCUUACUCUUACGUCUUGAAGUUUGAGUUUUUGAAUUUUCAGUAGCACCAUGAUGGCGCGACAUACCCAGUUUGCGCCAACACCUUUUUUUUGUAGAACUUUAUUUUUUUGGUCUUGCAAAUUGAUUCCGGAGGAUGUUUCGAAUUAAGAAAACUCACCAAUACAAAAAUUGAGAUUUGAAAAGAUUUCGUGCCACAUAAUAUGAAUGACUAGUCGUCUGCCUUUGGUUCUAGAAGCGAAGGCCAAUGUUUCCAUUAUCGGAACAAGUUUCAUGAAAUUCUAUAGAGCCGCUUUUUUGCAGAGGAAAAAUUACAGCACAAAUAACUUGAUGAUUUUAUUGUUAAUUUGGGAUAACACCAAAAAUUGCCACUUCCACCGCGGAUCCGUAAGCUGCUAAGUGAUAAGGUAAAGGACAACAGAAAUUGUUUACCCUGCAACAAAAAGCAGCUCUCGACGAUUUUUUGUCGUGGAAACGAAGGAUCCACCGGCACCGGUACUGAACGGAUUUUCUUGAUACCAAAUCCUGAAGGAAUCUCAAAGCCGCCAAACUGCCGAUGGUACUAGCCGUAUUUUAAUGUCGCAUGUUGAUUCUAAUUAUAUGUUUAUUCUGUGAACACCACUUGUGUAGUAAAACAUAUUUAGUAGAGGCCUGGAUAACAGAAACGCGGAUAAAAAAUAUGACUCUGCCAACACUG